rnacentral:rRNA from 1 species
UACGAAGGGUGCAAGCGUUACUCGGAAUUACUGGGCGUAAAGCGUGCGUAGGUGGUCGUUUAAGUCUGUUGUGAAAGCCCUGGGCUCAACCUGGGAACUGCAGUGGAAACUGGACGACUAGAGUGUGGUAGAGGGUAGCGGAAUUCCCGGUGUAGCAGUGAAAUGACGUAGAGAUCGGGAGGAACAUCCAUGGCGAAGGCAGCUACCUGGACCAACACUGACACUGAGGCACGAAAGCGUGGGGAGCAAACAGG